rnacentral:lncRNA from 1 species
AUCACAUUCAAGGUAAUCAUAUAAGCACAAGACACACAUUGGAUAGUAGACAUGAGAAAUAAACUAUCAAACCAAACAAUGUGGUCAAGAGUAUUAGAUUAGAGAAUGACCGUAUUGCAUUUGUAAUCCCGAACUGAAUAGGUUCUCUAAACCUCUUCUGAUUAGCUUGGGUAACCAUGAUAUGCUGCUAGGUGUCACUCAUGGUU